UGGGUGUCCUUGAAUGAUAAUUUUUUUAAUG
rnacentral:piRNA from 1 species